GAAGAGUCUUAGUUUCAUCAUCUUGGCUUUACUUGUAGUGGCAAACACGAAAACCACACUUAUUACAGCCAGUAGUUUUAGCCAAGAAUAUCACCCAGAUGCUUCAUUUUCUAAUAAUCCCGCAGCAUCACCUGAAAUUGUCGAUUGCUCAGGGCUUACAAGGGAAGAGUGUUUGAUCGAGAAGUCAAAGAACGCUCUCAGAGACUAUAAAUACUACUGCCCCCCGGGGGGAUGCAAAUGAUUUUGAUAAUCAGUUAUUUCAUUUGUCUUUUAUGAAUGCUUUUACAAUAAUGAUCAAUUGUAGUGAAAUUGAAAUUGUGUUUUAAUAAAAGAAGAAAUUAAUUCAUUAUGGGUACGUAACGUUAGGUCAUGUGGUUUCGGUGUGUGAAUUGGCUUUGUUUUUUGUAUGCAUAGCAUUGAAUCAAUCUACGAGAGGGCAAUCUAUUGAAAUACUAAUAAUGAUAAAGCAAUCAUUAUUUUUGUGUUAGUACUAUUUGUAAUAUUUGAAUUUUAAGUCCAUUUUCUUUUAGGGUGAGGCUAAUUGCAUCCUAACAAAAAAGAAAAAAGAAAAAAAAAGGUUUUCAACCUUUAUAUUUUAUCGGAAUCUUAUAUUACAAAACAGUCUGAAUUAAUUUGAAGAGUGAACUUCAAUUUACGCCUCGUGAAUCUUCAGUUUACCACUAACAAAUGUGAAAACACCAACUUAUCUCAUUUACUGCAAAGGAAAUAAAUAGAAAAUUUAUCAACGUCCCCGCUAUUUACGCUCAUCUUAUGAAAAAAAUUAAAGUAAAUUGAGAUUUUCAUUCUUUUGAGGGUAAAUUGAAGAUUUUUAUUGGGAGGGGGAUGAAUUGAAGUUUACCCCAAUUAAUAAAAUUUUUCUUAUUAUUUUUGACACGUGUUUGCCCGAUAUACUAAACAAAAAAAAAUCUUUUUUUAAUUAGAUGAAUGUUGUGGGGAUGCUGGAAAGGACCAUUUGCAAAUCUCAUUUAAAAGAAAAAAUAUAUAUAUAAGGGAAUGGAAAAUUUGUUGGCUAAUUACAAUUAUUAGGCAGCACAAGACAAGCCACACUGUCACAGUAAUCAUAAUUUUAUUUUGUCACUUGAAAAUAAAAAUAUCGGCUUCUUACUUCCUUCUAUUUUAUUUUGUUUUAUUUCAUUUUAAUUUUUUUUAAAUCAAAAAAUAGUUUCAAUCAAUUGUUUCUAAGUGCAAAUAUAUAUUCUUUUGUUUUUUGAGAUGGCCAGCUUGAUUGUAAUUUAAUAUAUGUUUUUGUAACUGAAAUUUAGAUAUUUCUUUAUUUUUGUUAUUUGGCUAAAUAAUGUAAUAUUCUUACUUAAUUGAUGACUUAAAAAUGAUAAUGUAUUAAUUGUUAAUUUUUAUGCAGCUAGCCAGUAAGAUAAGAAAAAGUUUUUGAUAAGAAAACAAUGGAAGCAGGGAUAGCAAUUAAUUUAUAAUCAUUUGAUGAUGCAAAACAAAGACUGCAUGAUGUUGGCUCCUACAAAGUUCAAGACCCGGAUGUAGUUACCACUAAGAAUAACAUGUUACCACAAAGAAACACGUGAAGGAUUAUUUAGUACAAGGAGUCUUAAUCAAUAUCGUUAGUUUUUAGCUUUUCUUGGCCUGUCUUUCUUCUGUGAUGCUCUUGAGAUGUUAUGAAUUAAACAAAUACAAGUUCCUAAUCACACUUUUAUCAUAUAGGAAGCAUUAUAAAAUGAAGAAACAAAUUCUCACACUCGGCGUCCAAGAAGACCUGAGACAAUGAACAAGUAGGGGAUUAAGCACUGUUUUGUAGACUGAACAGAGAAGCAAUAGCAAAUAGAUAAGGCGUCCAAUCACUACUAGAAAAAUGGUAUUUACUGACUUUAGAAUAGUGUCAGAAAUUACUUUCACUGACACUUGUUAAUUGUGUCAGUAAUCUGGGAGUCAAAAAAAUAGUGACACUUGUAAUUGGUUUUAGUGAUUACUAUUACUAUAGUAUUACCAGAUUUAUGACACUAUGGUAUUAGUAAUUAUUGAUAAUGAUCACUUGUUAAAAGUUACUUUCACCAUAGUAUCACAAAAUAUUAUGACACUAUAGUGAUAGUAUUUACUAACAAUUAUUACACGUCAAUAGUUUGUUUUACACUGGGAUAUGACAUGAUAGAAUAAACGGAUACUAAUACUUUAGUGUCAACAAUUUGUAAUACUAUAGCAUCACUGAUAUUAUGAUGCUGAAUCAUUUUUUAGCGUCAAUGGCUUCAAAGAAAAGAUGCUGAAAUUAUUGUUGCUACUCAAUUAUUUUCAUUAUUCUUUUAGUUUUGCCAAUCAAAUAAUGGUAUUUAAAGAAAAUCUAUUCAAAUUAAACUAAAGUACAAAUUUGAAUAAUUAAAUAUAAGUAUAUAAUAUUCCUACUAACAUUUAAAUAAGUAUCAAAUAAAAUAGUAAUACAAAUAUCCAAAAUAUUAUUUGAAAACAUGUCAAAUAUUUACAUGAACACAUAAUGACAGUUUGCAGGAAACAAUCAGUACAUCUCCUCUUUGAUCUUUACCUUUCCCUUCACCUUUCCCACCUAUAAUUGCAGUAUAUAGAAUCAAUUAGCUACUAUGCUACAAAAAUCAAUUCUUUGAUAUUUACAAGCAAAAAUAUAAUUUACCUCAUUAUUGUAUGCUACAAGUAACUUUGCAACAUACAUCACCCACUGAUCGCGAACUUGCGAAAGAUCGUCCAUAGUGUACUCAUUACAGCCCUUGAACUUCAAAAAUAAAGCAACAAAAUAUAUUCAUAUAUUAUAGAAUCUGUCCUAAAAUAAAACAACACAAUAAAAACAUAUAUUUUUAAGUUUGCCAGGAUUAACAUCAAAACUGAAGAACAUGCAAAUAAAUUGUAUUGCCAUAGCAAACAACGGUUACCAAAGCUGUCUAAGAAGCUGAUAAUUUAUAAUAUAUUAUUUGUUUUACUCAAUAUUACUUCUAACACUCAGCACUGGGAUUUAUAUGCUUUCUAUCUGUACAUGCAGUAGCUCCAAUCAUUGCUCAAUAAUACUUUAACACUGAACACUAAGAUUUAUAUGCAUUCUAUUUGUACAUGCAACAGCUCCAGUCAUUUUGGUUUACACUAAAGUGCCUUAAAUACAUAGUAGAACACAGUAAAAAUUGGCAUUAAUUUUUCCAAACAUGUUGAAUUCAUUCAGUAAAAUGUAUAUAGCAUUAUAGCUUUUACCUAUAAUAAAUAUGGCAAAUAAAGUGUAUGUGAUUAUCCUAAACAUACACAACACUUCCUCUAAUCCCUAGCACAAGAUAUGAUUAUAUUGCUAGUUUCAAGCAUAAAGCAGCAAAUUGUUCACCCAUUAACCAUCUUCACAAUUCACUUAAGAAAAUCCAUUUCACAAUGCAUUCUUCGAAAAAAUAUUAAACAAGUUCUGGAGAAACUCACAUUGUUUCAAGAAUGCACAAAUCGCGAACAAUAUCCUGGAUGUACUUCAUCACAUAGUAACCACAUUCAAAGGUUCCGGGUUGUUUCGGACACUAAAAAAAAAAAAAAAAAACUUUGUUUCAAAUAUACUGAUGAAGUAACAAUGGAAAUCAUAACUUUGUUUCAUUAAUACCUUUACAAAGACCCACUGCACAGCCUUCUUUUUAUUACUCUUCACUUGAUGCAUUGUUAUUCCACUAUAAAUAAUAAAUAACAGAUGCAACAAAUUAAUCUACAGCAUAAAAAAUUAAUAAAGAAUUAAGUAAACUAAUUAAACUUACUCAUUCACCAUUUGCUUCAACUCAUCAUCAUGAUUAUCACCUAAUGGAUCAAGAUAAUAAAUUUUUCGCCUCACCAUAUCAAUUGCUACUAGCACCCAGUGGCCACUAAACAAACAAGUAAAAAAAAAAAUAGAUUACAAGAUAAAUUUAAAUCAUUUAUGUUAAAAAAUAAAUAAACUAUACCCUGGGUUAUAUGGGAAGACAAUUAUUUGGGCUAUUUGAAUCUUGUCCAAAAGGUCUGAAAUAUAGGAACACCUAUUUGGGUAGCUUGCUUGACUUGGGUGUAACUUAGCUAUGCAUCCAAAUUGAAUUGGAAUAACACCACUGCCAUUAUCCAUCUCUUCAUACAAGUGUCUAUUGAAAAAAGAAACUUUCAUGGCAUGAAUAUAAGAAAUAAAUUAAUGACAGUUUGCAAAAUCAGAAAACAUAGUAAAAACAUAAAUCAAGUUUUUUAUUUCUUACUUGAUCCAUAUCUCCAAAACAGAAUUUGAGAGCUCUGUAAACUCAAUGACUUCAUUGCAAAUCUGCUCUCCCAGUAGACACCAAAAGUCUUCAAAUCAUGGGCAAUCAUAAUCGUCCGUGGCAGGGAGCUCUCAAUCAUCAAAGAAAAGAUGUUCAUUUCUGAACUUUUGUUCUCUUUUCUUGCUUUCACAGCUCCACGGGUAUUCUUUCUCAGAACCAGUUUCCUUGCUGUCACUAGUUUUACAACAACGGGUUCCUUUGUUGUUCGUUUCUGUUCAUACAGAUAUACCACGGCAUUUGUAGGAGACUUUCGGCCAUCCACUUUUCUCUUUGAAGGAGUUAAUCUUGGAGAUCUUCUUGGGGUGAUUUUUGAAGUGGCUUCACAAACUACUGGGGAUGGAUUCUGUGCAGGGGAUGGCAGGGGAGGUGUGUUGAUGUUUUUGUCAGGUUUUGGACAAAUAGUGGGGUCAUUGGUCACUGACUUUGGACUAACUUUGGUCACCGACUUGGGGGUAGCUUUGGGGUUGUUGGUCACGGACUUUGGGGUAGCUUUGGGGUUGUUGGUCACUGACUUUGGAGUUGCUUUGGGGUUGUUAGUCAUUGACUUUGGAGUAACUUUGCUGGGUGAUCGACGAUCUAUCUCCAUCUUAACACUGCAACCACCUUUGGAGUUAGGAAAUUUGGAACUGCCAACUUCAGUGUUGUUGCAUGCGUUGAUCCUUGCAUUCAUUUGAUCUAAUUGAGCUUGCAUAAAUUGAAAACUCUCCUGAUACAUUCUCCGUUCUCGCGCCAACUCCGUGGGGUUAGGGACAUUGAAAUACAUGGAUGGGGUGAUGAAUUGACCCAAUCCUUACACCCGACUUCCAUUAGGCUUCUUUUGAAGUGCUUCACCUAGGAUAUCACUCGGUCCUUGGGAUUGGAACGUUCCCUGCUCAACUUGACUUCUUAGCUCACUCUACAAAAUAAAUACAAAAAUAAUUUGAUCAAAAUUAGGAAUAAAAAAACAAAUAAGUUAAAUAAUGACAGUGGUGGUGGAAACUUACAAUUCUCUCAGCCACUUGCUGCACUUCAGGUGUAUAAGUUCCAUCUUUUCUCCUAUGAGCCAAUAACCAGGCUUCACUACGGUCAAUCUCGCGCUCAGUAACUCCGAGGUCCAACUGCUGUAAUAAUUCAACAAAAAUUGAAUUGAAAACUACUAUGAAUCAUCAUAUUAUUUGUAUUGAAAAUGUCAUAAGUUUGUAUAGAGUGGUUAUUAUACUUACUCUUUUAUGCAACAGCCCAGCAUAUCCUGUGCUACCCAAGUGAUGAUUGUACAUAUUCUUUGCUCUUUUUUCCUUUGCUGCCUUACUUUUUUCCUGCACAAAGCGGAUAUUGAUUAAAAUGGUUACAGGAACUCAAUAAUAUUAUCUAACUAACAUAAUUUUAAACAUACCUGAAAGUCUUCGGAUAAAAUCUUAUCAACAAAGCUCUUCCAGUCCUCUUUUCUAAUGCUUUCAUACUCAAGAGGAGGCUUUUUGAGUGAACUCAAGUUGUUUGCAUUGGGCAGAAUAUAUUCAUUGGCCAACUUACAUCUAAAGCCCCUUAAUGCAAUUCCCAUCCACUUGAACACUUGGGUUUUCGCCUUAAAACUCAACUUAAACUUUUCCUAAAAAUGAGUCCAUAACGUCUCCUUGAUGUCUAGUGGCACUUUCCUCCAAUCAUCAUAGAUAAUUGGAACUCUUUCCCGUACAAUCACCCCAAUGUAGUUCCUCAGAUCAUUUCUCUUUUUUCCAACUGGAACUCCGUAGGAAUUGUACAUAACCUCAGUGUCGUCACUAGCUCCUCUCUGCAGGUCUUUCUUCUUUGUAAGGUUUCGUCUUGGUCUUCCUUCUAGAUCUGGAUCAAAUGUUGGCUCCUCUUUUUCUGCCAUGUCUCCAACAAACCUGCAAAUACAUCAAAGUGGAUGAGUGCACCAGAUACCAAUCUAAUAUCCCAAUAUAAUAAUAAAAUAAUAAAAAACAAAUUUGUUGGUGACUUACGGGGAGUAGUGGUAAUAAGGCAUAGUAAUUGGAUUAUUCAUUUUCCGCACCAAUAAUUACAAGAAAAACAUCAACAACUACUCUGACACAAACUCCUCAUCACCCAAACCUAACUUACAUUCUGGAAAAUUGUUGGAUAAUGGUGCAUACUCAUCGAUGCCAUCACACAAGUCCUCAUUUGAAUAAUUACAUUUUGAGCUCACUGAACAAACAACUGAUUUACUAUUAUCUAACUGAUCUUUUACAUAAAACACUUGCUUUGCAUGACCAGCUAGAAUGAAACAAUCAGAUUUGUAGCCUAUUCGAUCUAAAUUGACUACAGUGAACCCUAACUCAUCAACAUUAACCCCUUUAUCAUCUACCCAAUCGCACUUGAAAAGUACGUUCUUAACCCCCAGAUAAUCAAGUUGCCAAAUUUCACUGACAACCCCAUAAAAAGGCAUAUCCCCAGAAUGAGGAUUUUUGUCUUUCGAACUUGAAAUCUGUAAAGUGUUAUCAACUACAUAAACGCUACUGUUUUGUGUUAUGCGGUUGCUGUCCCGAUCUCUUGUAGCAAAAUUAAAACCAUUAAUACAAUAGCCAUCAUAUGUAACCACGCUUGAGCGGGGUUUGUUUGCCAGCCACCAUACUUUUUCGUCAACCACUUCCUUAUUUGCUUUAUCAGUUGUCACCUAUUGUUCAAUUAAUAAAAUCACAAUAAUUAGUUGAAAGAGAAAAGUUUGUGUGCUUUUACUUGGAUACUUUUAUUAGAUCUAAUGAAGUUAAUCUAACCUUUUGUUUCAGCCAAUCAGUAAACGUACGGGAGUGCUCGGUUGGCAACCAUAAAGGCUUUUUUAAUUGAUGAGGGUGUGUUGAUUGCAAUAAGGCCAAAUGCUCCCUAAAAUUAUACCAACAGAAUUAAUAAAAUUGAAAAAAAUUAACGAAAAAGAGGUUCAAAUUUUCAGUCACAUACUCUAUGUAUGGUUGAAUCUCGGGGGUGUUCACCAGAACACAUCGGUGCGCUUGCGCCAAUGUAAGGCCAUCAACCACCUUAAUAUUUGCACCUCCGAGUGGCCUUUCAACUGUAAAAUGAAUUAGACAACCAGUAGGUAGUCCGAUUGAUUUACAAUUUGAAAGGUAUUCAUCAUAAAAUUCAAGUGCUUCCUCAGCAAUAUAGCACUCUAUAAUGCAACCUUCAGGACGGUAUCGGUUGCGUACAUAGCCCUUUAUAGGUUUCAUUUUUCUCUCAAAUGGAUACAUCCAUCGAAGGUAAACCGGGCCACAUAAUCUAACUUCUUCAACUAUAUGGACUGUUAAAUGGACUAUUAUAUUGAAGAAGGCAGGUGGGAAAGAUUGUUCUAAAUUGUAUAAGGUGAUUGUAAGUUCUUUUUCCAAUUGGUCUAGAGAAUUGGGCUCUACUACCUUAGAACACAAAGAAUUAAAGAAGAGGCACAACCUGAUUAUGACAGAUCUGACAUUUAGAGGUAAACAAUUUUGAAUUGCUAAUGGUAAUAGUUGUUGCAUCAAUGUAUGAAAAUCAUGAGACUUAAGCCCGUGAAGACGACAAUCAUCCAUUGAAACAAUAUUUCUAAAAUUAGAACAAUAGCCAUCAGGAACUUUAACACUUUGCAAGGUUUCACAGAACAUUUUUUUUUCCUGCUUACUUAAAGUGUACGGGGCAGGGGGCAGGACUUUGUUUUGUUCAUCAGGAGCUAAUACAAUCAAUGCUUUGUUAAUUUUUUCUCUAAGGUCUGGAUGUGUAAGAUCUUUUCUAGCAUUAAUUCCAUCUUUUGUUUUCCCCGGUUGAUGGAGUAAUGUGCCAUAGAUGCUCUCGCAUACAUUUUUCUCAAUAUGCAUCACAUCUAGUUGAUGGCGAACUAACAAAUGUUCCCAAUAUUCUAAAUCAAAGAAGAUUGAUCUCUUUUUGUACAGCAAUUGAGCUACAUCCCCAUUACCCUCACCCUCACCUUUAAUCUCAUUAUCUCCCUGACCCUGACCCUGACCCUGACCCUCAACCUCACCCUCACCCUCACCCUCACCCUCACCCUCACCCUCACUCUCACCUUUACCCUUACUGUUACCCUCACCUUUACCCUUAUUGUGACCCUCAACCUCACCCCGUUUUCGCUUUUUUUGGACCUUUUUCCCAAACUUGGUGUCAAUGUCAGCCACCAAGUUUAAGAUAUUUGUACCAGACAAAGGCUUUGGAGAAUUUUCAAUAAACAGCCUAUGACCCAUAUAUGACAUUUUCCGACUAUGCGAUAGCCAACAUGCACAUGUGUUUAUCCAACAAACUGGACAACCAUAAUACCCCUUAACAGUACACUCAGACAGGUUUCCAUAAGCUGGAAAAUCACUAAUUGUCCACAUCAACACAGCUCGUAAAUUAAAAGUUUGUUUCCUAUAACCAUCAAACACAUCGACGCCUACAUCCCAUAGGAUUUUUAAGUCCUCAAUCAAUGGUGCUAGGUAUACAUCUAUGUCAUUUCCAGGUUGUUUAGGACCAGAUAUCAGUAGAGACAACAUCAUAAAUUUCCUCUUCAUACACAGCCACGGAGGAAGGUUAUAUGUUAUCAAUGUAACAGGCCAACAACUAUAAGUAGUGCUAAGUAUGCUGUGUGGGUUAAUCCCAUCAGAUGAUAAAGCGAACCGAAGAUUUCUCGGCUCUUGGGCAAAAUCAGGCCAUUUCUUGUCAAUUAACUGCCAAGUUGGUGAAUCUGCUGGGUGGCGAAGCUUGCCAUCUCUAAUUCUUUUAUUUUCAUGCCAUGUUAAGUUCUCAGUAGUUUGUGGUGAUUGCAACAUUCUUUUCAACCUAGGAAUUAUAGGAAAAAUACCAUAACACCUUUUUAGGGACCCCCUUUCUAAUUUUUUUUUAUCCAUCUUUUCUUAUUUGCCACCUAAAUGCUCCACACCUAGGGCAUUCACUAAGAUUCUUGAACUCAUUCCUAUAAAGAAUGCAAUCAUUUCGACAUGCAUGUAUUUUCUCAUAAUCUAAGCCUAAUAGCUUCAUUAUUUUUCUGGCCUCAUACAUGGACUUAGGCAAACUAUUAUCAUUUGGCAAUAUCUCAUUAAGCACUUCCAAUCAAACUGAAAACCCACUAUCAGACCAGCCAUAAAGUCCUUUUAUAUUGUACAGUUUCAUUAGACUCGAUAACUUUGAAUGCUUUGAACCUGGAUAUAGGGGCUUUUCAGCAUCUUCAAGCACAUUCUUAAAAGAACUAGGAUCUUUAUCACAAUGCUCAAAAGCAUCAUGAACCAUGUCAUCUACAUAACUAUAAUUCGGACAUCUAAAACGUUGAUUUUGUGGCUGGUCUUGGCAUUUUACAGAGGUAGGUUUCCGGUCCACCUCACCAUGCCAAUUCCAAACUAAAUAGUUUUCUAGAAAACCUUUUUUAAAUAGAUAUAGCCUCACUUGUUGAGGACUCAAAAACUCCAUAUUACAACAAGUGGUACAAGGACAUCUAAUUGACAUUCUAUUUUCAGAAUUAAGAAUGGCAAACUCCAAGAAAUCAUCAACCCCAUCACUAUACUCAUCAGACAAUCUAUCACAGAAUAUCCAAGUUUUGUCCAUAACUUGUAUUGUUACCUGUUCAUUUGUUAGAUGUUGUUAGUUUAAUAAGUUUACUUAAAUUGCACAAAUAACUCCAAACUUUAGGUUUAAAUUAAAAAAUACAAAUUUCAAAAUAAAUCUAAAUUCUAUUUGUUUAGAGUCACUUAAAUAUAUGUACGCAUUCAACAACCCAACAGAGCAUAUAUGUAAGCAUUCAGCAACCCAACAGAGCAUAUAUAUAAGCAUUCAGCAACCCAACAGAGCAUACAUGUACACAUUCAACAAGCCAACAGAGCAUACAUGUACACAUUCACCAAGCCAGCAAAUCUAACUUACAUGUACACAUUCAGCAAGCCAACAAAACAUGCCAUAUCCACAUUUUUCAAAAUUUCUUUUUCAUAUUAGAACAAACAAAAGUAUAUAUUAGAAUAAAAAAAAUUAUUCCAGAACAGUCUAUGCAACAAAAACGAAAGUAAAACUAUGCAUGUCAAUAUUUAAAACAUGUCAGUACAAGUAAAACUCAGAACACAACGAUAAUAUAAAUUGAAAGUAAGUGAGUGAUUUAAAAGAAUUACCAAAUGAAGACAGCCGUUACACCGUAAACUUUUGUGAUUCUUCAAAAGCGACAGAUUGUUAAUUAUUAUGUCAGAGAGCUGUACAAGGGAAAUCACAUAAAAAAAUAUUAAGGACAAUACUUGUUGUUGAAGGGUUUGCAUGUGAGAUAUUGCAUUUAUACUAAGUCUAGCAAGUGCAUUACAGGGAAAGGAUUGAUGAAUUGACCCUUUGUUAAUAUUUAUCUUUAUCAAGCGCUAAUUAAAUGGAACAAGUUAGGCCCAAAAUUAAAAGCAUCAUGCAAAAUUUAAAAUGCAAUUUCGAGAAAUGGGGAAAAUGAGAAAAACCCAAAUCUACAUUGACAUUGUAUCCAUCAAUUCCAGUUAAAGUGUACAUGAAAUUCAAAGUCCAGUGACAUGGCAACUAAAGAAUGAGACGAAAGAAAACUGAUUUGAAUCAGACACUUAUAAAACUACUCUUAGUUAAAGACUCUAGUACAAUAAUUCAAAUUCAGUUAACUUUACCUCUCUGUUAGGUUUUCCCAGGUCCCAAAUUAUAAACAAUCAAGAUUACAAAAAAAAACUAAGAAUUUUAAAACUCAUCUACAGUUAAACCGCAACAAAACAACAUGCAUAAGGAAAAUAGGCACUGUAAAUUGGAAACAUAAUAAUUAAAAAUAAUUAAAAAUAAUUAAAAAUAAAUAAAAAUGAAUAAAUGACACCUUCAUAAACGAAUUUAUUGCAGUGAAGAGAGAGAGACAGAGAGAACCAAAUCGUGAUAGAAAUGAAUUCCUCUGCUUUGAGCUUGGUUGGGAUCGACGUGAAGUUUGAUUACAAUGAGGGAUAUGAUUUUAGGGUUUGGUUUACUUAGCUUUGACAGAGAAUGAGAACCGAGUGGUGAAAGACUAAUGAGUGAAUGACUUAGAAAAAAAUUAGCUUCGAUUUUGGUCUUAGGGUUGAAUAAAACGAUGCGUUUUACUUAUCUUUAUUUUUCCUAAGUGAAACGAUACCGUUUUUAACUGAAAAUAUAUUAUUUACUAGUAAAUUUUCAGCCAAAACCCGCUAAAAUUUUCACUGAGCCGCACUCAAUACAUUUCAAGUGCUUCAUAUUAAAAUUAUAAUAUUCUACUAAUUCAGUAGCAUAACUAACAAAAAGUCAGAACGGUUUCAAUUUUAAACUUAAAGGCUUUGGCUUUGGAAAGUCCUGGGUUCGAAAUCAGUUUGGAACGAAAUUUAAAUUUUAGUUUCUUUUACUAAUACCUUAGUGUCACCAAGAUAAAGACCAAUGGUCUUUUUCUUAAACUUAAAUGUUCCGAUGUUCGAGGUCCCAGGUUCGAAUUCCAUCCGUUACAUGAUUAGAAUUAUUUUAUUUUUAUUACUAAUACUUUAGUGUCAGCAAUUUCUUAUGUCCAAAUUGCAGACACCAUAGUAUCAUUAAUUUGUGAUACAUAUGUGUUAAACACGGAAAAUGACCCAUAUGUAUACAAAUACUGAUACUUUGUAAUAAAGUGUCACAAACCAAGUGUCAGUAAAGACCAUUUUUCUAGUAGUGAAUGAAGCCAGCAGCUAAUGCUCCUUAAAUUUGAUCGUGGUACUGGGGGCCUUGGAGGCAAACUAUUGGCUAGCCUACUGAUGAAUUUCCUUUUUGCCCACUUGAGCAAUUGCCAAGGCAGCAAAUAUGCUCGAUGUGAGCAAUACCGUGAAAACUGAGUGACCUAGAGCAUUGAACAAAAUCAAUAAGGCUUAUACAAUCUCAAUUAUGAUUUACUAGCUUUGUUCUACGCAGAGUAGGUUCUAAAUUACGUGGGGCAAUGGGCAAAAUUUUUUUACAAGGCCUUUGAGUAUUAACACUUAAAGAAACGUAAAACAUCUUAAAAUGCAAUCAAUUUUUGACAUCUUGAAUACUAAUAAUAGACAACAUAGUAAGAAAUUUCAAAAAGAAAAAUUGUCUAGAAAAUAUUUUUUUUUUACUUCUUUCAAAAUUUAUUUUUCAAGCAAAUAUAUAUAUUUUUUUUUACUUCAAAAGUGGACCAAUAAACAUACUAGUGUUCCUUUUAGGGAAAGGUGCUAGGAAUUUUAUAUGUUAAAUAUUCAAUUUUUUUAAACUCAGAAAAACUUUAAUGGUUGUUCUUGGUAUAACUAAUAACGAAAAAUAUUAUUAACCAUAGCUCAUUAGCAAUAAUGCUAUCGAAUAUAGAAUUUGUGUAAAAAUUCUUAAUAGUAGAAUAAUUAUUAAUUAAAAAGAGGCCUAAAAAAUAAGCUUUCCUUUUGUAAGUAUAACGUAAAAUAUUUAUUAAUUUGCCAUAUCAAGAAAAUACUAAAAGAAAAAAAUCUUCUUAACAUAUUUUACCUAGACAACCACAAUUGAGCCAUUCUAACAUUUGUUUAAAGCCUUAGGCAACAGCCUGGUUCACCUAUAUUUAAAGCCACCCAUAUAUGCUAGGAAAGCGGCUCUUACCACAUACAAAGGAUUAACUAAUCCCCAAAUCAGACUAUAUGAAAGGAAUAAACAUAACCAUAAAGCCAUAGAUGCUAACAACUGCAUUUGCUAUUAAAAAAUGCAAAUUAAAAAACCUUAUGAUAAUUUAUAAAGCAUACAUAACAUUUAAUUUUAUUAUAUAACUCACUUAAAUGCUGACAUGGCACUGUACUUAGCUUCAAAUGAUGACACUGCAACGAAGGUAGCUCCUCAUGGCUUAUAGCCAUGACAAUCGUAGCAGAAAAAGGUGUUGCCCCAAAGGCCGUUAGCCUCAGUAGAAAUGUGUAUAGCCUCGUGAUGAACAUUUGAUGAUACAAUUACUUGUAGUGACAAAUUGAUAUGUAAUGAGCAAGAAUUCGAAGUAACAAUAGUAGUGGAGAUAAAAGAAUUUAGAGAAGACAGUAGUUUUGGGAAAAUAAUCUUUUUUUUCGUCCUACCCUAUUUAGACAUCUAUUUGGCUUUUUACAAAAGCCAAUGGGAGCAUACAAUUCCAUUACUAAGUACUAACUACUUAUAACCCACAAAAGAUACACACAAACUCAAUAAUGCAUGAUAUACGUAAAUAAUGGGAAAGAUGGGUAAUAUUGCACAUGUAGUAAGUGGUACACAAGUUCAGAACCCAUUUAUUUUCAAAACAAGCUAAAAACUAAGUCCAGACAUGGUACAAGUACGUGGGAUGUAUGGUUGGCUCUUGCUAGUUACCUGGACACAUAUCACAAACUUGUUGAUUUGGAAAAUUAAGGUUAUAUAAACUAAAGAAAAAAGUUUAAGGUUGAUUUGAACCAAAACAUUUAGUUAAUGGAAAACACAUGAGUAUAUAGAGUUAAGAAGGCAGAUGAACACAUAUGUUGGGAUACUUUGUUAGUUGAGAUGCUCAACUAUCACCAUCACCAUUCACUACAAGUUUUCAAAUUUUUUUUUUUUUUUGGGCUAAAUGUAUAGACUUUCGAUUGCCCAAUAUGUGCAAGCCUUUUCUUUUCUUUUUUGUCGGCUCUAUCAGCCAUUUGAUACAAGAGGGGAAAAAUUUUAAUCAAUCUAAUGGAAGGAUAAAAUCAAAUCCUAUAAACGGUAAGGAACAUUGAUGAUUUAUUUAAAAUUGUUGAACGAAUCUUACUAAUGGAUCAUGAGGGUUGAUCUAUCAUUAUCUCAAUCCCCUCAUUUAUACAAGCCAACUUAACCAAGUGUACGUAAUUGAUUUUUGUUUUCUAAAAUAAUUUCCUUGCAAUUUAAUAAGAAAGUCUUAUGCACGAACCACCUGAUAAAACCAAAUGAAGGGUAAUGUAAGCUUAUGUAGGGUCUUUAUCUUAAAAAACUAGCUUGACGAUUGAUGUAAAGUGUAAAAAUCUAAUUAAAAAACUAAACAAAAUAAUAACACUAAAAAUGAUAAUAUUAAUUAAAUGUACACUGAAAUUGCUUUCAUAAUGCAACACGAUAUUAAAAUAAAUAGUUAAUGCAAAAAAACGCAGCAUGUUUUAUUUUCCUUAUUUAUGGAAUCUUUCAAUUCCAUUAAAGUCACUGUGGCAAGUUUCUCAAUAUUCAUUCAUAUAAAUAGAGGCUCAUGACUUUUUGAUUUUUACACAUCUCCUUUAAUUCUAAUUAAGUUGCUUACAAUUCACUUAAUAGAAAAUGUCGAACAGUCUUAGUUUCAUCAUCUUGGCUUUGCUUGUAGUGGCAAACACGAAAAGCACACUUAUUACAGCCACUAGUUUUAGCCAAGGAUAUCACCCAGAUGCUUCAUUUUCUAAUAAUCCCGCAGCAUCACCUGAAAUUGUUGAUUGCUCAGGGCUUACAAGGGAAGAGUGUUUGAUCGAGAAGUCAAAGAACGCUCUCAGAGACUAUAAAUACUACUGCCCCCCGGGGGGAUGCAAAUGAUUUUGAUAAUCAGCUAUUUCAUUUGUCUUUUAUGAAUGCUUUUACAAUAAUGAUCAAUUUCAGUGAAAUUGAAAUUGUGUUUUAAUAAAAGAAGAAAUUAAUUCAUUAUGGGUACAUAACGUUAGGUCAUGUGUUUUCGGUGUGUGAAUUGGCUUUGUUUUUUGUAUGCAUAUCGUUGAAUCAAUCUACGA
rnacentral:lncRNA from 1 species